GACACUGAACAUUGAGCCUUGAUGUGUAGGAUAGGUGGGAGCUUUGAAGCGUGGACGCCAGUCUGCGUGGAGCCAACCUUGAAAUACCACCCUUUAAUGUUUGAUGUUCUAACGUUGGCCCCUUACCGGGGUUGCGGACAGUGUCUGGUGGGUAGUUUGACUGGGGCGGUCUCCUCCCAAAGCGUAACGGAGGAGCACGAAGGUUAGCUAAUCCUGGUCGGACAUCAGGAGGUUAGUGCAAUGGCAUAAGCUAGCUUGACUGCGAGCGUGACGGCGCGAGCAGGUGCGAAAGCAGGUCAUAGUGAUCCGGUGGUUCUGAAUGGAAGGGCCAUCGCUCAACGGAUAAAAGGUACUCCGGGGAUAACAGGCUGAUACCGCCCAAGAGUUCAUAUCGACGGCGGUGUUUGGCACCUCGAUGUCGGCUCAUCACAUCCUGGGGCUGAAGUAGGUCCCAAGGGUAUGGCUGUUCGCCAUUUAAAGUGGUACGCGAGCUGGGUUUAGAACGUCGUGAGACAGUUCGGUCCCUAUCUGCCGUGGGCGCUGGAGAAUUGAGGGGGGCUGCUCCUAGUACGAGAGGACCGGAGUGGACGCAUCACUGGUGUUCGGGUUGUCAUGCCAAUGGCACUGCCCGGUAGCUAAAUGCGGAAGAGAUAAGUGCUGAAAGCAUCUAAGCACGAAACUUGCCCCGAGAUGAGUUCUCCCUGAGACUUUAAGUCUCCUGAAGGAACGUUAAAGACGAUGACGUUGAUAGGCCGGGUGUGUAAGCGCAGCGAUGCGUUGAGCUAACCGGUACUAAUGAACCGUGAGGCUUAACCUU
rnacentral:ncRNA from 1 species